rnacentral:rRNA from 1 species
UACAGAGGUGGCAAGCGUUGUUCGGAAUUACUGGGCGUAAAGGGCGCGUAGGCGGUCUUGUCAGUCCCUUGUGAAAUCCCCCGGCUCAACUGGGGAACUGCACGGGAAACAGCAGGGCUUGAGUUCGGGAGAGGGAAGCGGAAUUCCGGGUGUAGCGGUGAAAUGCGUAGAUAUCCGGAGGAACACCGGUGGCGAAGGCGGCUUCCUGGACCGAUACUGACACUGAGGAGCGAAAGCCAGGGGAGCAAACGGG